rnacentral:rRNA from 1 species
GGAAGGUCCGGGCGUUAUCCGGAUUUACUGGGUGUAAAGGGAGCGCAGGCGGUCUUGCAAGUCUGAUGUGAAAGCCCGCGGCUCAACUGCGGGACUGCAUUGGAAACUGUGGGACUUGAGUGUCGGAGGGGCAAGUGGAAUUCCUAGUGUAGCGGUGAAAUGCGUAGAUAUUAGGAGGAACACCAGUGGCGAAGGCGGCUUGCUGGACGACAACUGACGCUGAGGCUCGAAAGCGUGGGGAGC